rfam:Hordeum vulgare subsp. vulgare, WGS project CAJW01000000 data, contig: morex_contig_40798
GGUUUCGUAGUGUAGUGGUUAGCACUCCAGACUUUGAAUCUGGCGACCUGGGUUCGAAUCCCUGCGAGACCU